rnacentral:rRNA from 1 species
AUUGAACGCUGGCGGCAGGCCUAACACAUGCAAGUCGAGCGGAUGAAGGGAGCUUGCUCCUGGCUUCAGCGGCGGACGGGUGAGUAAUGCCUAGGAAUAUGCCUGGUAGUGGGGGAUAACGUCCGGAAACGGGCGCUAAUACCGCAUACGUCAUGAGGGAGAAAGUGGGGGAUCUUCGGACAUCACGCUAUCAGAUGAGACUAGGUCGGAUUAGCUAGUUGGUGGGGUAAAGGCCUACCAAGGCGACGAUCCGUAACUGAUCUGAGAGGAUGAUCAGUCACACUGGAACUGAGACACGGUCCAGACUCCUACGGGAGGCAGCAGUGGGGAAUAUUGCACAAUGGGCGAAAGCCUGAUCCAGCCAUGCCGCGUGUGUGAAGAAGGUCUUCGGAUUGUAAAGCACUUUAAGUUGGGAGGAAGGACAGUAAGUUAAUACCUUGCUGUUUUGACGUUACCAACAGAAUAAGCACCGGCUAACUUCGUG